GAUGUUAUUUCCCUUAUUUCUUGUGCGUUUGUGUCAGGAGAAACCAGAGGAGGAGAAGCAGUCGAUGGCAGACCUCGGCCUGACAGACACUGAAGCACAGCAGCUGCUGGACAAAGACAAGGAGAAGAGCCUGCAGGAACAGGACACUGAAGAUUCGAAAGAAGGGACGUCUGUUUGACAGAAUAAACCAAACAAGUCAAGUGCCU